CCUCGGGACCAGGUGUGUGUCUGAACACAUGAGCCAGGGGUUAAAAUUGUGUGGUCUCCCCCGGUUACUUAAUCCUUCAGAUAACUCGAGUAAAGGGUGUCUGGGGAUUUGGGGGACUUGUUUCUUUUUUUUUUUUUUUUUUCAUUUUUAUGCAUUCCCUCACUCGAUCUGGAUAUAGGAUCCUGGGGAGGCGGGGAAAAGGGUUUGAUGGAAAAUCCCUUUGCAUCUUUCACGUUGGAUCCUCUCGCCUGCAAGACGGUUGGUGCUGUCGGCUUUCCAAUUUCCCACGCACACGUGAAGAUGCUCAAGUGCAAGUUGCCACCCGAAGGAGGCUCCUGGGGCAGAGGGAGUGCGAGCUCUCAAGCGGGUGGAGGGCCAGGCCCUGCCACUGAAGAGCUGGGCUGGCUGGGGACACAGCCAGGGAAGAUUCCUAGUGCUGGCUUUGCCGGGCAGGAUGGCAGCGGAUGGCCGGGAAGGGAAAGCCUGGACAGCUGCACCGACCAUCAGCCUGUUCUGAGUGGAAAGCCCCAUCCCUAGAGAGCUCCGGCUGCCUCCCCGUAGAUGACCCACCAGGGCAGCUGACGAACUUGGCGAUCCUGACCAGCGUGGCCCAGUGUCCCCACCAGCUGCUCGCCGGCCCUCUCUGUUCCCUCGCCUUCCACUGGGCCUCACCCCUUCGUUCUCCUGUCACUACCCUUCUAUUUCCAGUUGUCUCCUAUAUGGGACUAAAGCAUAUAUUUGCUAUGUU